rnacentral:rRNA from 1 species
UACAGAGGGUGCAAGCGUUAAUCGGAAUUACUGGGCGUAAAGCGUGCGUAGACGGUUAUGUAAGUCGGGUGUGAAAGCCCCGGGCUCAACCUGGGAAUUGCAUUCGAGACUGCAUAGCUAGGGUGCGGAAGAGGGAAGCGGAAUUUCCGGUGUAGCGGUGAAAUGCGUAGAUAUCGGAAGGAACACCAGUGGCGAAAAGCGGCUUCCUGGUCCAGCACCGACGUCAGGCACGAAAGCGUGGGGAGCAAACAGG